AUGAAGGGCAUCGCCGAUGAGCUCGCAGCCGCCGGCAAGCCCCUUGGAGAAGAUGACCUCGUCGACCAGAUUCUCCAAGGCCUGAUGCAUGAGCCAGAAUACAACGGCUUCGUCUCCGCGAUCUCCACCCGUGCUGCCAUGGACCAACAGAUUGGGCUCACUGAGCUCUUCUCGUUGCUCUUGGCAGCCGAGUCACGCAUCCUCGCCCAGCAGGCUGCCUUCUCCCCCAACCACUCCGCCAAUCUUGCUUCCCGUGGUGGUGGCCGCGGUGGUCGUGGA
rnacentral:rRNA from 1 species